UGUCUCAGUACAAGCCGAAUUAAGGUGAAACCGCGAAAGGCUCAUUAAAAUCCAGUUAUGGUUCCUUAGAUCGUACCCACAUUUACUUGGAUAACUGUGGUAAUUCUAGAGCUAAUACAUGCAAACAGAGCUCCGACCGGAAACGGAAGGAGCGCUUUUAUUAGAUCAAAACCGAUCGGUGGCGGUCUCCCGUCAUCGUACAACUUGGUGACUCUGAAUAACUUUACGCUGAUCGCACGGUCUCGCACCGGCGACGCAUCUUUCAAAUGUCUGCCUUAUCAACUGUCGAUGGUAGGUUCUGCGCCUACCAUGGUUGUAACGGGUAACGGGGAAUCAGGGUUCGAUUCCGGAGAGGGAGCCUGAGAAACGGCUACCACAUCCAAGGAAGGCAGCAGGCGCGCAAAUUACCCACUCCCGGCACGGGGAGGUAGUGACGAAAAAUAACGAUACGGGACUCAUCCGAGGCCCCGUAAUCGGAAUGAGUACACUCUAAACCCUUUAACGAGGAUCAAUUGGAGGGCAAGUCUGGUGCCAGCAGCCGCGGUAAUUCCAGCUCCAAUAGCGUAUAUUAAAGUUGUUGCGGUUAAAAAGCUCGUAGUCGAAUCUGUGUCCCGCGCCGCCGGUUCAUCGUUCGCGGUGUUAACUGGCGUGUCGCGGGACGUCCUGCCGGUGGGCUUAGCUCGCGAGGGCGGCCCAACUCAAUCCCGCCGCGGUGCUCUUCAUUGAGUGUCGAGGUGGGCCGGCACGUUUACUUUGAACAAAUUAGAGUGCUUAAAGCAGGCUAAAACUUCGCCUGAAUACUGUGUGCUCAACUGUUGAAUAAUGGAAUAGGACCUCGGUUCUA
rnacentral:rRNA from 1 species